GAGUCUCUCAGCCCCUGCUUGUACUUCUGAAUUGAACACUUUGAAAAUUUCUAACUGUUGGGGCUUCCAUUGCAAAUUGUAGUACGAGGUUCGAGCUCAGCAGGGAAGAGUUCGAGGUGAUAGAGGACAUCUACAAGAGGCCUCUGAAGCUCCGCCACUUCGACCACCUGAUCGACAGGAGUUGCUACUUUCUGGAUUUUGGACUAAUGGCUUCCAGAGGUACGAGGCUCCCAUAGUUGUAAAUUUCGUUGUCUUUUUUAUUGGAUAUUGAUGUGCUGACUUGACGCUCUUAUGCAGAUAAAUUCAAGAGGAGGGAGUACCCAGCUCCAGACAUGGCUACAAUUUUGAAAGCCACCACAACCGCUAAGGCUAGGGCCUUGAAGCCGGGGUCCAGUGGGGCCAAAGAGGUCCGAGGUAAGGUGGAUCGCCUUUCCAAGGACAGUACUCUAAAAGCUUCCAAAGAGGGAGCUUCCCAGACGCAAGAGAGGCAAAAAGAGCCUCGGGGGAAAGAUAAAGUCCCAGAGGAGGCGAAGAGGAGGAAGCUGGUGCACGUUACUAGCUCGUCCGGGAAAUUUGGGACGUCAGUGUCCCACGAGGCCAAAUCAACAGGCGAGCCAAAACUGCCUCCAAAACCGCUCGCAUCUGCCUCCAAAACCAUCAAGUUAGAAAUGGUUAGAGAGGCUAAGGCUGAGGAGGCCAGAGACGAGGCUGCGAGGAGAGCUGCUGAGGCUGUCGAGGAGGAGGCAGCUAAACAAAAGCCUAUUCGGGAAAAGGGGAAGUCUCCAAGCUUCCAAGCUGGAAGGGAGGAGACCUUGGCCCCAUCCUUGGUAGAGGCUCUUCCCCAGGAGGUCCGAAGCGCCACGGAGAACUUUUACCGGUUCUGGACGGACAGGUGGCAGCUGCAUGCCUCCUCAUGCGAUGCUACUGACCUGACGAGGGCGUUGG
rnacentral:lncRNA from 1 species